rnacentral:rRNA from 1 species
AUUGAACGCUGGCGGCAGGCCUAACACAUGCAAGUCGAACGGUAACAGGAAACAGCUUGCUGUUUCGCUGACGAGUGGCGGACGGGUGAGUAAUGUCUGGGAAACUGCCUGAUGGAGGGGGAUAACUACUGGAAACGGUAGCUAAUACCGCAUAACGUCGCAAGACCAAAGAGGGGGACCUUCGGGCCUCUUGCCAUCGGAUGUGCCCAGAUGGGAUUAGCUAGUAGGUGGGGUAACGGCUCACCUAGGCGACGAUCCCUAGCUGGUCUGAGAGGAUGACCAGCCACACUGGAACUGAGACACGGUCCAGACUACUACGGGAGUCAGCAGUGGGGAAUAUUGCACAAUGGGCGCAAGCCUGAUGCAGCCAUGCCGCGUGUAUGAAGAAGGCCUUCGGGUUGUAAAGUACUUUCAGCGGGGAGGAAGGGAGUAAAGUUAAUACCUUUGCUCAUUGACGUUACCCGCAGAAGAAGCACCGGCUAACUCCGUGCCAGCAGCCGCGGUAA